rnacentral:lncRNA from 1 species
UUUUGUCAGUAGACGCAGCAUCUACACAUGUCUAUUCUAGCCUCAGCAGCGCAAAAAGAUCCCCUUCCCUCCCUACACGGCUACACACCUUACUAGUUAAGGAUACCUAUUGCUAGGCCGGUACGUGGCGUCGUGGCAUUUGCCACCAUUGUUCCCAGCAAGCACACACGCGCCGUACCUACUCACUCUGCAGUGAAAGGAGAGAGGAAAAGGGACGGUGAUGUACAGGCUCUCUCUCUCCUCCCUGUCUGGCACACAAAGGACAAGAACACAGAACGCAACCAAGGCUACUCCAUGUCUCCAUCUCCAUGAGAGAGGUGCAAACAUCACCGCAGCACUGUUCCUUCUACUACAGCAACAGUUAGGCUGGCCCUCUUCGGCUCCUCCCCAAUAAAUCGUCCUCUGGCUCAACCUCUCCUUUUACAGACUGCCAGGGGCAUAAAGAACUCUUGAGUCUAUACCACUCAAGGCCCAGACAAACCAAAUUACACGUGAUUUUAGCCCACGUCGCGCAUGGUUAAUUUUCAGUUGACCCUGCGUAAAACCACAAGAGAAGCCUUCAUUUUGCUUGUGCUGGUGCCUGAUAACUGCCUGCCAUAUAUAUGGUAUACAACAUUACGACGACAUGAUGCGCCAUGGUAUACAUAUGUAGUAUGCAUGGACAAAGAGUGAUCGAGCAACAGUACAGAAAGUGGCAACAACCGGCAAAAGCACGAAAACGAAAACAAGAGUGCCAGCACCACCACUCAUAAUAUAAACAAGAGAGAUGGUGAGCAGUAUCUAUGAAAGAAGAUGAGCGAUGAUUCAGAGUUUAAAAAACUGACCUGCAAAUUAAUGCUUCUAUAGCUAGCUCCAUAUUGGCUUUGCCGCCUGCUGUAAGUUGACUGCUGCUAAUGGACUGUCAAUGUUGUUGUCAUGCCCUGAGAACGCUGCGGUUGCAACUCCAAUCUUAGGACGAGAACAGAUCAUACAUAUAUAAUGCAAUGAAAUGCACAUUAUGUAUUGCAGCGCAUCAGAUCUUGGCAGUGAUGCUGUGGAGAGUGCGAAUUUGAAGGGGUGUUAU